GACGAACGCUGGCGGCGUGCUUAACACAUGCAAGUCGAACGGAAAGGCCUCUUUCGGGGGGUACUCGAGUGGCGAACGGGUGAGUAACACGUGAGUAACCUGCCCUUGACUUUGGGAUAACUUCAGGAAACUGGGGCUAAUACCGGAUAGGAGCUCCUGCUGCAUGGUGGGGGUUGGAAAGUUUCGGCGGUUGGGGAUGGACUCGCGGCUUAUCAGCUUGUUGGUGGGGUAGUGGCUUACCAAGGCUUUGACGGGUAGCCGGCCUGAGAGGGUGACCGGCCACAUUGGGACUGAGAUACGGCCCAGACUCCUACGGGAGGCAGCAGUGGGGAAUAUUGCACAAUGGGUGGAAGCCGGAUGCAGCAACGCCGUGUGCGGGAGGACGGCCUUCGGGUUGUAAACCGCUUUCGCUCAUGACGAAGCUUUGUGUGACGGUAGUGGGUAAAGAAGCACCGGCUAACUACGUG
rnacentral:rRNA from 1 species